UCGCUGUCGCCCUGCAUUUGGCGUCGCGCUGCGCAGAAGCAAGCGGGUCGCUAUAAUAGCGCUGCGGCGCAACCUGCGCCGUUUCCAGCAGCAGCUGCAGAAGCGGCAGCAGAUGGGGCGAGCAUAGGUGCAGCAUCCACGAGCCUGUCGAAACAAAGAAUACGAACACAAUUUCCCAGACCUGUUGAAGAUAAAGACAAAGAUACCCCAUAUAGCCUUUAACGGACUGUUGGGACGAGUGCAGUUCGUGAACACUUCAUGAAGGCUGGAAUGGCACACGAGGGGGAGCAGAAGACCACAGUGGUUCACUUACACCACGGCUGGGGAACGUCCGGCCCGCGAAAUCAUUUGGUGUGGCCCUACCAAGGCAACCGCAGGCGGGACUCGAAAUUCAAUAAAUCUCGGAGCAAACCUGGAAAAGCAUCUGCAAGUAGCAGCAACAUCAUCAACACCAGCCUACAUCACACGGCCUCGCCAAAGAGAAGCAGUUCCAGCCAUCACAUUAGGGCUGCCGGUAAAAGUCAACAAGAGAACACUCCUGGUGUUUUCCGCGGCACUUAUCGUCACAGCUGUGGAGGAGCAUCAUCAGGGUCCACGGAGAAGGGAGAAGAGAAAAGCAACAUGUCCUUUUCAAUAACUGCAAAGUCC